AACAGAGGGGGCGAGCGUUAACCACCGUGACUGGGCGUAAAGGGUGCGUAGGCGGGUAUUAUUAAAACGGCUUGAAAGGAAUGAUUGCGUAUCGACGCAAACCUGUUACUUGCAAUGUUUACCUACUGAGAUAAGAUGAAGUUAGUGGAAAGUGAUGUCGAAUGGGCUAAGCCCCAACAUAUUAAGUAACACCUAUGGCGAAGGCAACUAACUGGGACUUAAUCUGACGCUGAGGCACGAAACUUAU
rnacentral:rRNA from 1 species